CAGUAGCCGCGGUAAUACGUAGGUGGCAAGCGUUGUCCGGAAUUAUUGGGCGUAAAGGGCUCGCAGGCGGUUUCUUAAGUCUGAUGUGGAAGCCCCCGGCUCAACCGGGGAGGGUCAUUGGAAACUGGGAAACUUGAGUGCAGAAGAGGAGAGUGGAAUUCCACGUGUAGCGGCGAAAUGCGUAGAGAUGUGGAGGAACACCAGUGGCAAAGGCGACUCUCUGGUCUGUAACUGACGCUGAGGAGCGAAAGCGUGGGGAGCAACCAGGAUUAGAUACCCCAGUAGUCCCUGUCUCUUAUAC
rnacentral:rRNA from 1 species